GACGAACGCUGGCGGCGUACUUAACACAUGCAAGUCGAACGGAAAGGCCCUGCUUUUGUGGGGUGCUCGAGUGGCGAACGGGUGAGUAACACGUGAGUAACCUGCCCUUGACUUUGGGAUAACUUCAGGAAACUGGGGCUAAUACCGGAUAGGAGCUCCUGCUGCAUGGCGGGGGUUGGAAAGUUUCGGCGGUUGGGGAUGGACUCGCGGCUUAUCAGCUUGUUGGUGGGGUAGUGGCUUACCAAGGCUUUGACGGGUAGCCGGCCUGAGAGGGUGACCGGCCACAUUGGGACUGAGAUACGGCCCAGACUCCUACGGGAGGCAGCAGUGGGGAAUAUUGCACAAUGGGCGGAAGCCUGAUGCAGCAACGCCGCGUGCGGGAUGACGGCCUUCGGGUUGUAAACCGCUUUCGCCUGUGACGAAGCGUGAGUGACGGUAAUGGGUAAAGAAGCACCGGCUAACUACGUG
rnacentral:rRNA from 1 species